rnacentral:misc_RNA from 1 species
GAUGAAGAACGUAGCGAAAUGCGAUACGUAAUGUGAAUUGCAGAAUUCAGUGAAUCAUCGAGUCUUUGAACGCACAUUGCGCCCCCUGGUAUUCCGGGGGGCAUGCCUGUCCGAGCGUCAUUGCUGCCCUCAAGCACGGCUUGUGUGUUGGGCCCCGCCCCCCGGCUCCCGGGGGGUGGGCCCGAAAGGCAGCGGCGGCACCGCGUCCGGUCCUCGAGCGUAUGGGGCUUCGUCACCCGCUCCGUAGGCCCGGCCGGCGCCCGCCGGCGACCCCCCUCAAUCUUUUCAGGUUGACCUCGGAUCAGGUAGGGAUACCCGCUGAACUUAAGCAUAUCAAUAAAGCGGAGGA